rnacentral:rRNA from 1 species
GAUGAACGCUGGCGGCGUGCCUAAUACAUGCAAGUCGAGCGAACAGACGAGGAGCUUGCUCCUCUGACGUUAGCGGCGGACGGGUGAGUAACACGUGGAUAACCUACCUAUAAGACUGGGAUAACUUCGGGAAACCGGAGCUAAUACCGGAUAAUAUAUUGAACCGCAUGGUUCAAUAGUGGAAGACGGUUUUGCUGUCACUUAUAGAUGGAUCCGCGCCGCAUUAGCUAGUUGGUAAGGUAACGGCUUACCAAGGCAACGAUGCGUAGCCGACCUGAGAGGGUGAUCGGCCACACUGGAACUGAGACACGGUCCAGACUCCUACGGGAGGCAGCAGUAGGGAAUCUUCCGCAAUGAGCGAAAGCCUGACGGAGCAACGCCGCGUGAGUGAUGAAGGUCUUCGGAUCGUAAAACUCUGUUAUUAGGGAAGAACAAAUGUGUAAGUAACUAUGCACGUCUUGACGGUACCUAAUCAGAAAGCCACGGCUAACUACGUG